GGAGGUAUAUCGAAGUGGUCAUAACGAGGCUGUCUUGAAAACAGUUUGGGUGUGAAAGCCCACGGGGGUUCGAAUCCCUCUACCUCCGCCA
rnacentral:tRNA from 1 species